UACGGGGGGGGCAAGCGUUGCUCGGAAUCACUGGGCGUAAAGGGCGCGUAGGCGGCUGAUUUAGUCGAGGGUGAAAGCCUGUGGCUCAACCACAGAAUUGCCUUCGAUACUGGUUGGCUUGAGACCGGAAGAGGACAGCGGAACUGCGAGUGUAGAGGUGAAAUUCGUAGAUAUUCGCAAGAACACCAGUGGCGAAGGCGGCUGUCUGGUCCGGUUCUGACGCUGAGGCGCGAAAGCGUGGGGAGCAAACAGG
rnacentral:rRNA from 1 species